rnacentral:rRNA from 1 species
CUACGUGCCAGCAGCCGCGGUAAUACGUAGGGUGCGAGCGUUGUCCGGAAUUAUUGGGCGUAAAGGGCUUGUAGGCGGUUUGUCGCGUCUGCCGUGAAAUCCUCUGGCUUAACUGGGGGCGUGCGGUGGGUACGGGCAGGCUUGAGUGCGGUAGGGGAGACUGGAACUCCUGGUGUAGCGGUGGAAUGCGCAGAUAUCAGGAAGAACACCGGUGGCGAAGGCGGGUCUCUGGGCCGUUACUGACGCUGAGGAGCGAAAGCGUGGGGAGCGAACAGGAUUAGAUACCCUGGUAGUCCACGCUGUAAACGUUGGGCACUAGGUGUGGGGGCCACCCGUGGUUUCUGCGCCGUAGCUAACGCUUUAAGUGCCCCGCCUGGGGAGUACGGCCGCAAGGCUAAAACUCAAAGGAAUUGACGGGGGCCCGCACAAGCGGCGGAGCAUGCGGAUUAAUUCGAUGCAACGCGAAGAACCUUACCAAGGCUUGACAUGC